rnacentral:rRNA from 1 species
UACAGAGGGUGCGAGCGUUAAUCGGAAUUACUGGGCGUAAAGGGCGCGUAGGCGGAUGUGCAAGUGAGAUGUGAAAUACCCGGGCUCAACCUGGGAACGGCAUCUUAAACUGCAUAUCUGGAGUACUGUAGAGGAUAGUGGAAUUUCCGGUGUAGCGGUGAAAUGCGUAGAGAUCGGAAGGAACAUCAGUGGCGAAGGCGACUGUCUGGACAGAUACUGACGCUGAGGCGCGAAAGCGUGGGGAGCAAACAGG